AUUGAACGCUGGCGGCAUGCUUUACACAUGCAGGUCGGACGGCAGCACAGAGAAGCUUGCUUCUUGGGUGGCGAGUGGCGAACGGGUGAGUAACAUAUCGGAACGUACCGAGCAGUGGGGGAUAACUAAUCGAAAGAUUAGCUAAUACCGCAUAUCUUCUGAGGAAGAAAGCAGGGGACCAUUUGGCCUUGCGCUGUUUGAGCGGCCGAUAUCUGAUUAGCUAGUUGGUGGGGUAAAGGCCUACCAAGGCGACGAUCAGUAGCGGGUCUGAGAGGAUGAUCCGCCACACUGGGACUGAGACACGGCCCAGACUCCUACGGGAGGCAGCAGUGGGGAAUUUUGGACAAUGGGCGCAAGCCUGAUCCAGCCAUGCCGCGUGUCUGAAGAAGGCCUUCGGGUUGUAAAGGACUUUUGUCAGGGAAGAAAAGGGCGGGGUUAAUACCCCUGUCUGAUGACGGUACCUGAAGAAUAAGCACCGGCUAACUACGUG
rnacentral:rRNA from 1 species